rnacentral:rRNA from 1 species
UACAGAGGGGGCCAGCGUUAUUCGGAAUUAUUGGGCGUAAAGGGCGCGUAGGCGGCAUGGCAAGUGGAUGGUGAAAUCCCUCGGCUUAACCGAGGAACUGCCGUCCAAACUGCUUCGCUUGAGACCGGGAGAGGUGAGUGGAAUUCCCAGUGUAGCGGUGAAAUGCGUAGAUAUUGGGAGGAACACCAGUGGCGAAGGCGGCUCACUGGACCGGUACUGACGCUGAUGCGCGAAAGCGUGGGGAGCAAACGGG